rnacentral:pre_miRNA from 1 species
UCUAGAACUCGAGAUAAGGGUUAAAUACCACAUGGUAUUUGGACUGCAGGACAGAUUCAGACUUCUCUUUUGUUGCUAACAUUUGAACUUGAAAAUAGUAGCUUUGAAUCUUGGACUCUUCAUGAAUAUUAGGUCUAUGUCGUAGCUUUCCAUC